AGCUGGGUCUUUAAGGCUUGACCUUGGUGAAUGCAGUAAAAAAUAUUUAAAUAAGAUCUUAUGUGUAAAACACUUCAAUGUGCCCUUUUUUAUAUUUUUUUCUUUUUUAGGCCAACUCUCACGUGUCGGCGGAAAGUUACCAAAAUAUGUUAAGGACUUAAUUCAGAGAUAAUGUUGCUAAACGAUUUGCAGUCGAUAAUCUUUCGAAAGCGGAAACACUCAGUGUCAAACAAAGAAUACGCGAAUUAUUCGAGAUAUGAUUGAAAUUUGCAAAGAAAGUAAAAAUCAAACUAGUUUCAUUCUAAGUUAUUGUAUACAAUUUUAAAAUUUUGGAAUAGAAGUGAUGCAAUGUUUAUUUAUUUUUAGUCUUUUAAUUUCCGUAUUCAAUUAUUUGCCCGGACUAGUAUAAUAAUCGUGUAUGACCUAAAUAAAUAAGAAGAAAUAUAGCUUGACAGCGCAAAGUUAUACAGUGUAAAAUUGUCCUUUAUUGUUUUUUGCAGUGUAGAAAUAAUAUCAAAAAUGAUAGAAAAACGUUGGAGGGCGUUUUUCUUACUACGUUUCGCAACAUUGUUAAUAUAACGUUAACCUAUGUUUCAUAU